UCUGUAACAUGUAUUAAAUAUAUUUUAACCAUUCAUACUACAGAUCUGAUUUACUGUAAUUGUGUAUAGUUGCACUGUUCAAUUAGAUUUCAAAUAAAUAAAUUAUUUGCAAUUCUUAUUGCAUCUUCUGGUAAUAAGCCGAUUUUAAAAGUUUUAAUGUAGCCUAUAAUGCUAGUUUCCAGUACCGGUAGAUAUUUUUAAUGUAAACAAACUUUACACAAGCAAAGAAUAUUAACAAUAGGGGUUUUACCAAUCUUGUUUGAAUUUAUUUAGUCGUUUUGAAACAUGACUAAUAAGAAUGCUUUUAUAUUGAUUUAAAUGUUUGUCUCAGUUAUAUUUAAAUAUAGAUAUCAAUUUAUAAAGAUCGAGUGCGUGUAAAAUUCCUACAAAUAAAGAUCAGCUUAGGUUAACACGUGUUUGACGUUUUCCUUGCUCGUUGCAUAGAACGCGUGCUAUCAAGCAAGAAAGUACACGUGUUCACACUGAUGGUCAGUAGGUCAAGGCUCACUGACUCUCACUGUAAAUCUUUUUCGUACCACCUCUUUACUCGAUCUUUUUGUUGACGUAAUAGACCUUGUGAUCUCUUUCUUUUAUGAGUUACACAAAUGUUUAGGUCAAUAACAUUCAAAUAUAAUGAAACACGUAACUAAAACUAUCUUAUGAUUUAAAUAUAAUUCAAGGAAUUUUUAUUUUAAAGUAUAAGAUAUAACUGGCAAGAUCAUGAUAUGAACGACAGGAUUUGCUAUUCAGUUUCAUACAUUUAAAAAAAAGUUAUCUCAAAAUACAUGCUACAUGACAGAUCUAAUAAACUACAUUAUAGGCACAGUUCGUAAAUAUUAUCGAUGACUGAUUCUACGAAGAUAAAGAGCAUAAAAAAAAAUCAAGAGGCAUGCAAAUGUGUUGUAGCCAUAGUUGUAGACUAUGUACGUGUCAGUGUUUUAUCUAAUAUCUACUGUAUACCCCAUUCUAGAAUAUUUAUGAUUUAAAAUAUAUAUAAAAUUAAUUAGAGUCAUAUUUUAAAUCGUGCAAUCUAACUUUGUAAGAACCAUCUUCGUUAAUUAUAAUGUCUAUAAUGCAAUUUGUGUAAGUACGGUAGUCAAGUAGAUGAGGUCACGAGAUGAACCAACACAUCCUCACAUCAUUUGUUCAAAUGCUGCACACUGCUAUAUGGUAUCGAAAUACUAGCGUUAAUAAAACAAACAAUUUAAAUAUUCAACAAGAGACACUACUAAUACAGUAUUAGAGAAGAUUAUAGUCCUGAGGGGGGGGGGGGGGGGGAGAAAGACUGUGCCGCUGGUCAAUGUGUAGGCUACCCGGUCACGUGGCUUACUUACAAUUGACCAACCAGAGACAGGUCUACAUGAUAGGCUACAGCCUAUUGCAUCAUUAAGAAAAAUAGCGCCAGAACCAAACACCAUGACCAUCCCAUUCCAGUCAUAGUACUCAUAGAUCUACUUCAAGAUUGUGUUGAUUUGUGAUUAACUCGAAUCUAUUCUAACAACUUUGGAAUGUGUGCGUCAAGCAAAGACUCUCGGAACCAAAGAGUGAAAGAAUGAUGGCAUCACUAUGAUCACUUCUUGCUGGAUCUGUCCAAGAGUCAAUGAGUACAGGUGGACCAUGUUGGAAAAUAACUUUCAGUCAAGACUCAAGUUGAGACAAGAGCUCCAUUGAUGUUAUUGAUCAAACUGAACAUGUUCUAGAGAUACUGGAGAAAAGAUCUGAGUGCAGUACAGACUCAUUAAUUAAAAGAAGCAGAGAUAAAUACAAUCAGGAUUGGGUAUGAAGCAAAAUUCCCAAUGGCAAAUAAUGUAUCACUGUUGGAAAUAGAAGUGAAACUGAAGGAUGAAGAUUCUCAUGAAAAUUUGAUCUAUCCAGUGAAAACAGCAUUAAGAGAACAAUAGUAUGGAUUAUAACUUGGCUGGACUGGACAUGGCACAAACAGAAAAUAAAUGUAUUGAAUUUUCAAUCCAAAUUAUGGAUUUUAGAUUAUUCAAGUGAGUUACCCUAGUCUGUCAAAUAACUUAGAGAAAGUACUUGAACUUGGCACAUGUGAUGGCACAGAAAUCGUAAAAAAAGAAGGAUGAUCCCAAACAUGUAAAACAUUUUACAAACAAACCUAAUCAAAGUUUAUAAAUGUUUAAAAAAAAGUAAGAUGCACAAGCAAAUUUAUUUACAUACUACAAAAAUUAGAACUAAUGACUAAUGGAAAAAAAAAACCUACCUAUCUAGACUUAACAACAAAGAAAUAAGUAAAUAUAAUAUUUCAAACAUGUGCUGGAUCUUGUUAGUUUAUUAACAUACUAUGUAGGUGCAUUACAUAAAACAUGUAGUGGUUCUUGGUUGUUGAUUACCGGUACUGUGCUUUUUUCAAAUACACAUUAGUUUUGUCAUAUAUUAAUUAUAAAUAUUUAUGUUCACCAUUAAUUAUUUCGUUCAGCUAUAGCAACAUAAGGAAGGCAUGGUGGCUAAGUGGUUAAGCAUUUGGCUUCCAGACCCGAAUUAGAAUCUCAGUGAAAAUUGGGAUUUUUAAGACACCCUAACUCUGAUGGAUACUGGUACCUGAUUUUAGCUGGGGAAAGUAAAGACAGUUGUUUAGCUAGCUACAUGACACCCUGCUUGUUAACCAUUAGCCAAAGAAACUGAUGGCCUUAACAUCAUCUGCCCUAUAGAUGCUAAGUUUGAAAAGGGGAACUUUACUUUUAUUACAACAUAAGGUUAUAAGUUGACAGUUACAGAUGAUGUACCAUAUGAGCAUCAUUGUUGUUUACUGGCUUUUGAACAGUAGCUUGAAACGUUUGCUCUUACUUACAUAGAAUAUUCACUGUUAAAAAAUUAUGAAUAUGAUAGUGCAGCUAGUCACUCUGCUCAAAAUUGAAAAAAAUAUUUUGUUGAAAUUAUAAACAUGAGCUACCGGUAUAUAUAAAUGUAUAGUUUUCAUUGUUGAGCACACACUUUUUCUUUGGU